AGUGAACGCUGGCGGUAGGCCUAACACAUGCAAGUCGAACGGCAGCACAGUAAGAGCUUGCUCUUACGGGUGGCGAGUGGCGGACGGGUGAGGAAUACAUCGGAAUCUACUUUUUCGUGGGGGAUAACGUAGGGAAACUUACGCUAAUACCGCAUACGACCUACGGGUGAAAGCAGGGGAUCUUCGGACCUCUCGCGAUUGAAUGAGCCGAUGUCGGAUUAGCUAGUUGGCGGGGUAAAGGCCCACCAAGGCGACGAUCCGUAGCUGGUCUGAGAGGAUGAUCAGCCACACUGGAACUGAGACACGGUCCAGACUCCUACGGGAGGCAGCAGUGGGGAAUAUUGGACAAUGGGCGCAAGCCUGAUCCAGCCAUACCGCGUGGGUGAAGAAGGCCUUCGGGUUGUAAAGCCCUUUUGUUGGGAAAGAAAAGCAGCAGGUUAAUACCCCGCUGUUCUGACGGUACCCAAAGAAUAAGCACCGGCUAACUUCGUG
rnacentral:rRNA from 1 species